AGCGAACGCUGGCGGCAGGCCUAACACAUGCAAGCCGAACGAAGUCUUCGGACUUAGUGGCGGACGGGUGAGUAACACGUGGGAACGUGCCUUUAGGUUCGGAAUAACUCAGGGAAACUUGUGCUAAUACCGAAUGUGCCCUUCGGGGGAAAGAUUUAUCGCCUUUAGAGCGGCCCGCGUCUGAUUAGCUAGUUGGUGAGGUAAAGGCUCACCAAGGCUACGAUCAGUAGCUGGUCUGAGAGGAUGACCAGCCACAUUGGGACUGAGACACGGCCCAAACUCCUACGGGAGGCAGCAGUGGGGAAUCUUGCGCAAUGGGCGAAAGCCUGACGCAGCCAUGGCGCGUGGAUGAUGAAGGUCUUAGGAUUGUAAAAUCCUUUCACCGGUGAAGAUAAUGACUGUAGCCGGAGAAGAAGCCCCGGCUAACUUCGUGCCAGCCGCCGCGGUAACAC
rnacentral:rRNA from 1 species